AUUGAACGCUGGCGGCAGGCUUAACACAUGCAAGUCGAGCGAGCGGCGGACGGGUGAGUAAUGUCUGGGAAACUGCCUGAUGGAGGGGGAUAACUACUGGAAAACGUAGCUAAUACCGCAUACCAUCAGAUGUGCCCAGAUGGGUUUAGCUAGUCGGUGUGGUAAUGGCUCACCUAGGAGACGAUGCCUAGCUGGUCCGAGAGGAUCACCAGCCACACUGGAACUGAGACACGGUCCAAACGCCGACGGGAGGAAGAAGUGGGGAAUAUGGGACAAUGGGCGCAAGGCUGAUGCAGCCAUGCCGCGUGUGUGAAGAAGGCCUUCGGGUUGUAAAGCACUUUCAGCGAGGAGGCGUUACUCGCAGAAAAAGCACCGGCUAACUACGUGCCAGCAGCCGCGGUAAUUC
rnacentral:rRNA from 1 species